AACGCUGGCGGCGUGCUUAACACAUGCAAGUCGAACGGAGUAUGACGCUGACGAGUAGAGUAGCUGCUACGAAGCAAAUACUUGUCGAUACUAGUGGCGGACGGGUGAGUAACGCGUGGGUAACCUGCCAUGUACAGGGGGAUAACACUUAGAAAUAGGUGCUAAUACCGCAUAAGCCUACAGGAUCGCAUGAUCCAGUAAGAAAAACUCCGGUGGUACAUGAUGGACCCGCGUCUGAUUAGCUAGUUGGUGAGGUAGAGGCUCACCAAGGCGACGAUCAGUAGCCGGCCUGAGAGGGUGAACGGCCACAUUGGGACUGAGACACGGCCCAAACUCCUACGGGAGGCAGCAGUGGGGAAUAUUGCACAAUGGGGGAAACCCUGAUGCCAGCGACGCCGCGUGAGUGAUGAAGUAUUUCGGUAUGUAAAGCUCUAUCAGCAGGGAAGAAAAUGACGGUACCUGACUAAGAAGCCCCGGCUAACUACGUGCCAGCCGCCGC
rnacentral:rRNA from 1 species